UACGAAGGGGGGCUAGCGUUGCUCGGAUUGACUGGGCGUAAAGGGCGCGUAGGCGGUUCGUACAGUCAGACGUGAAAUUCCUGGGCUCAACCUGGGGGCUGCGUUUGAUACGUGCGGACUUGAGUGCGGAAGAGGGGUCGUGGAAUUCCCAGUGUAGAGGUGAAAUUCGUAGAUAUGGGGAGGAACACCGGUGGCGAAGGCGGCCAUCUGGACGGAUACUGACGCUGAGACGCGAAAGCGUGGGGAGCAAACAGG
rnacentral:rRNA from 1 species